rnacentral:rRNA from 1 species
CCCUUAGACGUUCUGGGCCGCACGCGCGCUACACUGACGGAGCCAGCGAGUAUAGACCUUGGCCGAGAGGUCUGGGAAAUCUUGUGAAACUCCGUCGUGCUGGGGAUAGAGCAUUGUAAUUAUUGCUCUUCAACGAGGAAUUCCUAGUAAGCGCAAGUCAUCAGCUUGCGUUGAUUACGUCCCUGCCCUUUGUACACACCGCCCGUCGCUACUACCGAUUGAAUGGCUUAGUGAGGCUUCCGGAUUGGUUUAGAGAAGGGGGCAACUCCAUCUUGGAACCGAGAAGCUAGUCAAACUUGGUCAUUUAGAGGAAGUAAAAGUCGUAACA